UCUAUAUAAGCGGAAGUCGGGAGGCGGAGCGGUCUUUCGGCGUGGCGCUCGGCGGGUGUUGGGUGUAGGCUGAGCUCGUUGUGAAGAGCAAACGAGGAAGUCUCGCUGCCUGCCCGCCCGCUCCUCUCCUGCCUUCAGGCUGAGAGGGCUCCCCGCGGUGCCUUCCGGUGAAGCCGUGCCUUGCUGGCCGCUGUUCGCCGUCUCAGGCGCGGGCGCUAUGCUGCAGCCGGGCCUCGGCUCUGGGAUGGGCCGCGACGGCGGCGGCCUCUGCCGUUUGUUGUCCGAGGCCGAGCGAGGGAAGGCGGGGUCGUGAGGGUACGGCCGCGGCCUGUAGGCUCGUAUGGCGGAGGACGAGGAGGAGAAAAACAAGACAAAGGGUGGGAUGAAAAAGAUUUUCCAUCUUGAAAAACCGAAGAGAGAGGCAUGUAGUGUGGCAGACUCCAGAGGUCUCAAAAGCCCGAGGAGGAAAAAUUGAAGAUACUUUUUCUUCAUGCAGUUACACGUGAGGACAAGUCUGAGUUGUUGUGCAGUUCCCUUCAGAUGUUGAAGAUCAUGCUUGAAUUCUAGAAUUUCUAGCAAGCCUGGCUACAGGAAAAGAAAUGGUUUAGCAUUUGUGCUUCAAGAUGCUGAGGACUUCCAUCUUAUUCACACAUGGAUUCAAGCAAGCUGCAGCCAAUGAGAGUGCGUGUAAUCUUUCCUUCCUACAAGUAAUCUCAGCUUGUGCUGUUUUCACACCCAUGUUCUGAAGCACUUGUUUUGACCACGUUUACCACGUGGCUAAGAAGGUUUAAAAAGAAGAACACUAAGUAUGCUAUCUGCAAGUCUGAAAUAAUGCUUUUUAAACAUCCUAGGAUCUAGGAUGUUGUUGUCUGUGGAUAUGAGAAUUGUGGGGUUUUCUUAACCUUAAACAAUGAAAUGUGGAAGCUUGCUUCCUACCUCACUCCUCUUCUGGCACUUAAAUCUUUUACACUGCUAAAGCAGCAGCGUCUGUUAGUGUUUGGUUGUCAGUCUUUCAGUGUUCUGGCUCUUGCUCCUUUUCCAACUAAUGUGGAAAGUUGGGAGGAGGCGUUAUGAGUGUGAAAUAGCUUUGCCUUGAGUCAUUUCUCUUCCAUAUUGUACUGUAGCUCGUAAACCAUAAUCACUUGUUUGAAAACACUUGUCCAUUGUAUUAGUGACGAAUGAAACUUGGUGCUCUUGGGAUGUGUGAGUCAUGGGUAAGUCUGAAUCUCAAAGUGUCUGUCCAGUGCUGUUAAUGGGGUGUGCAGAGCAGUAACAUGGUAACAUCGUGGGUUUUGUCAAAAGUCUUUAUUUGAAUAAAGUGUCUGAGCUAGUUCUCU
rnacentral:lncRNA from 1 species